rnacentral:rRNA from 1 species
GGAGCAUGUGGUUUAAUUCGAAGCAACGCGAAGAACCUUACCAGGUCUUGACAUCCCGAUGCUAUUUCUAGAGAUAGAAAGUUACUUCGGUACAUCGGUGACAGGUGGUGCAUGGUUGUCGUCAGCUCGUGUCGUGAGAUGUUGGGUUAAGUCCCGCAACGAGCGCAACCCCUAUUGUUAGUUGCCAUCAUUCAGUUGGGCACUCUAGCGAGACUGCCGGUAAUAAACCGGAGGAAGGUGGGGAUGACGUCAAAUCAUCAUGCCCCUUAUGACCUGGGCUACACACGUGCUACAAUGGUUGGUACAACGAGUUGCGAGUCGGUGACGGCGAGCUAAUCUCUUAAAGCCAAUCUCAGUUCGGAUUGUAGGCUGCAACUCGCCUACAUGAAGUCGGAAUCGCUAGUAAUCGCGGAUCAGCACGCCGCGGUGAAUACGUUCCCGGGCCUU